CCAUUGAGUACCUUGAGAAAGUUUUGAAAAUUGCGAUAAAAAUUGGUGAUCAGAGUGGAGAAGGAAUAGCCUACGGAAAUCUCGCUGUUGCUUACCAGUCACUUGGUGACUAUCGACAAUCCAUUAAGUACCUUAAGAAACAUUUGAAAAUUGCAAUAGGAAUCGGUGAUCGGAGUGAAGAAGGAAUAGCCUAUGGAAAUCUCGGUAAUUCUUACCAGUCACUUGGUGACUAUCAAAAACCCAUUAAGUACCAUAAAAAACGUUGGAAAUUUGCAAUAUAAUUUGGCGAUCGGAGUGGAGAAGGAAAGGCCUAUGAAAAUCUUGCCGUUACUUACCAGUCACUUGGUGAUUAUC